AAAGCAGACCGCCUUAUCGAUCCUAAACUUCGGUUUGGGGUAGGAAAGUCCGGACACCAUAGGGAAGCAUAGCGGCUAACGGCCGUCGUUCGCCACAAGCGAAUCGGACAAGUGCAACAGAAAGAAUGUACAGGUAAUGCUGUAGUGAAACCAGGUAAACUCUAUGCGGUGAAAUGUCACGUAAACCUGUGCUUGAGGGUACCCGCCCGAUGCAGGAGGGUGGACAGAUAGAGCGUAUGGGUAACCAUACGUCCAGAUAAAUGAUAAGGAUUGCGUUUCGGCGCGAUACAGAAUCCGGCUUAUAGGUCUGCUUUCUUU
rnacentral:RNase_P_RNA from 1 species